ensembl:lncRNA
CCAUAUACCUGGGAUUGCCCACGUUCAAAACAGCUCUGGAGCAUUGUGAAAAUGCACUUUAAUGGCCAGCUGUGGGUGAAGAACUUUCCUCUGAAGCCAAGUGGUUUGAAGAAGUCAGUGUAUUGGCAGCCAAAUGGUAAAAAAUAAAUAAAAUCAUAAAUUAUGCAAAUAAACUGAUUUCACCUGCAUACAAUAUUAACUAAAGCAAAACUCCACAUCUGCCUUGCACAUUAAAUGUUUAUGUGAGUUUAUUCAUGUUUAAAGCAUUUCUAUUCAAUAUUAAUUAUACACACUUUUAAAAUGUGCAGCAAAAUAGUUGGAUGGAAAUCCAGUUUAUAUUGAUUUGUAAAAAGUUGACACAAAACGUCAAUGUAUGUCCAAAAGUAGAAUGUAACACUUAAGUAUAGGGACCAAUUCUCACUAUUAACUAGUUGCUUAUUAGCAUGCCUAAAAUUAACAUGUUGGCUGUUUAUUGGUAUUUAUAAAGCACAUGUUCUGCAUGAUCAUAUUCUACAUCCCUUGUCCUACACAAUACCUAAACUUGAAAACUUCCUUACUAACUAUUAAUAGGCAGAAAAAAAUAUGAGUUUAUUAAGGCAAAAGUCAUAGUUAAGGGUUUGUAAAUGGCGAGAAUUUGACCUUAAAAUAAAAUGUACCAAAGAAAAAAAAAAUUCUGAGCAAUGACAAAUGUUCAAUGGCAUUUAGUCAAGACCAAAAACAGUAUGUGUCAGUAGAAAGUGACUAAAAUAGAAAGAAAGAGAAAAAAAAGCAACAACAACAACAACCAAAUAUUCAAUGACAACGAUCCCUGUUCUCCACUAUAAUGUUUGGUAAUGACUUUUGAUGGAAAGCUAUUUUAAAAUGGAUUUUUAUUUAUUUAUUAUUUUAUUUAUUUUGAUUUAACUUCUACUGUGUAUGCGGAAUAAAUUCUUUCUUGCCAGAGUUGAGUUUGAGCUGAAAAAGCAAAAUCUAGAUUUCCAUAGCCUCCAUGCUCAUAUUGAACCAGGAACAGAGAAAAAUAGAGCAGGAACAUGAUUCUUAUGUUGCAUCCGCGAUUAUUCCAGCUCUGGGCGAUAUGUUUUAAUAAUGAGCCGCUUCUCUCGCAGAAGUCUGCAGCUUGCCAGUAAUGCCUGUUUCACAUGUCAGCUUGGACUGCUUUAAUCUCAAGCUCAUUACAGAGGAGCGGGGUGAGCAGAACACAACACAAGCCCGUGGCGUUGAAUUACUUUUCCACAGACCCACACACUCGUCAGGACCCCUGAGACGCAGCAGCCACACACACGGCCCGCUUCAAGCUUACUGGGCUUCUUUAUUGAGUUUGUCUCCCAUGCUGAGGGAGAAAAUUUACCAGCAGGUCAAAACAGGGCUGAAGAGAAGAACGGCAUCUUUUUCCCUUCCUUCAUACGUGCAAUUUAUAGCAUGAACUAUGUGGUUUUAGUGCUUUGAAAUUGCGAGGGCUCCUGUAGCGUAAACCGGAGUACAUGAGACCUACAGUUCACAGCAGCACUUCGCAAUGGUUAUCUGAGAGAGAAUGCAUGAGCAUCUGAACAGAUUAUCACAGAAAUCCCGUGAUUUCACUGACGUUUUAUCUCCUGCUAUCUUUACUUCUUAAUAAAUAAGGACUGAGAGACCGCUGUCGUCAUAUAUCGUACACAGUCAGCAUUCUUGGAGGCCUUUGGCCACUCAUUUGCAUGAAUUGCUCAGGCAGAUAAUGACAGGGGACGUUUCCUCCGGCCCGAGCAAUGACUGUAGCAGAUGAUUCAAUUACAUUUACCCAACCUGCAUUCAUUCCAUCACAACACCAGAAUGUCCCAUCUACAGAUACCUAAACCGGGAUUCAAUCUGGCGCAGCAUCACCUGGUGACGGUGGAUAUAUUGGAUUAGGCUUUAAUGCAUCUCAUGCAGACUCACGCAUGAACUAGAUAUUCUUUAGCAUUGUCUGCUACACGAGAAGAUGCACAAGAGGUUUCAAAAUCAACAUGGAAUCUGAAUUGAUCAUCUUUACUAUCUUCAUAAAGAUGCACAAAGCACGAAGAAGUCUUAAUGCACAUAGGUGCAAUAAUAAUUUUACCAUUGUAUAUGUGUGUAUGUAUAUAUAUAUAUAAGUAUACAUAUAUGUGUGUUUGUUUGUUCCUAAAUUCUUUUUUUUUUUUUUUAGUUAAUUUUUUUUUGUUUCGGUUUAAUGAUUUUAUUUUUUAUUUUUUUUAUUUAAUUGUUUAAUUACAUUUUAAUAAUAGGGAGGAUGUCCAGUGACACGUAUCCAUAAAACUUUAUUUUACAAUAUAUUGGCAAUAAUUAUGUGCUUUCAGUGUGUGUAGUAGAGCAAACUAACUCAGUAGUGCUUGAAUAUUCACACACACUCGUCCAUAUUCAUUCAUCUAAAAUUUGCCAAACAUCAUGACGUUCAGUGUGAUGAAGUAAAUUCCAUUUAAUGGCUGGAUUCUGAAAUUCCGGCCUAUGUUUUCGGCAUCACGGAAUCAAAGGGCACUAAGUUUCCCUUCAUAAUCUUUUAUUAAAAUAUUACUUGCUGCACCCCUUAAAUAACUUGAAACUGACAUUACAAAUGUCUUUGGUUUUUCCAUCUGUCCCUUCCAGCCACCUGCUCCUUUUCACAAUGCAAUCGAUUUCCAGCGGAUAAAAUCAAGUCUUGCCUGUUUCUCUCAGAAAUGUCUUUUAAAAACGCUGUUCAUCUUGAAAUCUGACUGAUCUAUAAUAAAUCCUGAAUGGCUAAUAACCAGUACAGUAGCUCAUAGAUGACACCUCAUCGUAAUAUCCGCUCACGUUCACAUAUGUUUCGCUGCUGUCCUUUGACUCUGAUGAGAGGGACUGUGUGGAUGGGUGAAGCUCUGAAGUGCUGACCACAUCCCUUCUCUGUGAGUCAAACAGUGCGUCUCAGCGCGACACAGCCAGCAUUCACGGCCCUCAUCCAGCUGUUACUCAGGCACUGAAUGGAAACUCUGUUGAGAUCAUCAUCAUUUCCCUGAUGAGGCUCCACCACAUCCUACAAUCCCACAAUCUGCCAGCCGGCUCCAAGCUGAGUUCAGAAGACUCAAGGAUCCUUGAAGAAGACUUAUGGUCUAUAGGGUUUCAAUAAUACUGCUCAUUUUCCAGUGUGCUAACCAUACAUACAUAUUAGCUGUAUUUAAAGAUAACUUGCUUUAAAUAGGCUGGCUAUUUUAGAGUUAUGCUUGCCGUUUCAUACUAGUAAUCUGUAGAUUUUAUAUUUACAUUUACCCAUUUGGGAAGACACUAUUAUGCAAAGCAACAUACAGUUUUUUUAAAGGUAUAUAUAUUUGAUCAUUUCAUGCAUUCCCAUGACCUUGAUGCGGCUAAUGCCAUGCUCUGCAGGAAUGACAAGCAGUCUGUAAAAUACAUUGUUCCGUCACUGUCACUAAUAACGUAAAACAUCAUAUUUAUAACAACAGAAGUAAUGCAGCUGGAAGGAGAACUGAUAAUGCAUGACAUGAUGUCUUCAUGUGCGUUCACUUCUGAAAAUGUUUCUUUUUUUAAGCCAAUCACCUGAACCAUAAAGGCCAUGUGACUGAUGAUUCUAUACACAAUGAUUUUCUCCAUAGAGGAACAGAUUUUGAAGGAUAACUCAUAAACCUUUACAGACAGACCUACAGCUUGGUUUAUAUAUAAUCAUGUUGUACAGCACAUUCAUGUUAUAAUUUGCAAACUGUUUCCAAAACAACACUUUAGCUCUGCCCACUCUUAUUUUAUAUUUGAAGCUGCAUCCCAGUUUGCACACUUUGCACUAUUCAGUGCUGUUUUGCAAUGUGGAAUGCAGCUAGAGGGGGAGGGGCUCAGACUCCAAUUAUGAAUGACCAAAUAACCUUAUAUAAUUCAUACACUACACGGUUGAGUACAUAAAUGCAUAGUCUAUAAGUGCAUAGUGUAUGGUACAUCAUAUUGUUUUUAGUUAAAUUAAUGUCAUUUGCAAAGCUUCAUUGGAUUGUAGUUCUUUGUAUUUUUGUCUGAUUUUCAAUUUUUUUUUGCUUCAAAUCAAACUCAGAAAGCAUGUUUCACACCAUCAGCAGACACUAGUUCAACACGUGUAAUAUCUUUUACUUUUUUAUGAUUUAUCCUUACAGUCAUGCUUUGCUUAACUUUAAUUUAGCUAGAUUUACCUUUAGUUUCCAUCAGAUGAUUCGGUCAUGUGUUUGUGUUGAUGGUGAGCUCCAGUAGUGCAUCUUGUGGACAGCUCAAGUGCACUAAGGUCAUGGAAAGGACUCGGCAGUAUCUUGUUAAAGUGGGAGCUCUCCGUGUCUGUCCCUGUGGGCUCAGAAUCUCAUUGCUCUGGCCCAGAAUCCCCUUCUCCACGUCAGACUGGUGAUGGGCAGGGGCUCGCGGGUCAACAACGAGGAGCUUUAGUGGAGUUAUGAAGGCAGGAUCCCCUGGUACUGCCGUAACAGACUGCAGCUCCAUCAGCGUCCUUCACCUCUAAACACUCACAGAGAGCAUCUGUAAACGUGGACAAGCAGCUCACGCUCCCUAUAAGGAUUAAACAAUCCGAAGUGAACAGCAAACCUGUCUCACACAUUAGCUGCCCACCUUCAAGUUUCAUGGGAUUUGAGCAGAGCAAACAGAACGCGUGGUCUUUGUUAUCAGUCCAGGUAAUAAGGAGGAAGCAAGGAAGAAGUGUUUGGAAAGACUCGGUGAAGAACAAACAAGCCGGGUGUUUGCAGAGGCUUGCUAAUGGGACGUUUCCCAGAGGACAUCACUCACAGCAGCGCCGAGACACAAGCAGCUCGCCCUGCCAUAAAUCUCUGCCUUAAACACCAUCACUCCUGUGACCCUGAGGAGAGUUCACGGCACGCAGCGACAUUUCACUUAAGGUACCGCCUACUGUCUUCAAGCCGACUUCAAGAUGUAGCUUUCAAGACGAUGGAUAAAUCAUCUGAUAGCUCUUCUAUUUCAUUGUGCCAUUUUGAUUUUUAGUAUGUAUAUAUAUAUA